rnacentral:rRNA from 1 species
UACGUAGGGGGCAAGCGUUGUCCGGAAUUAUUGGGCGUAAAGAGCGUGUAGGCGGCCAGGUAGGUCUGGUGUGAAAACUCGAGGCUUAACCUCGAGAUGUCAUCGGAAACCAUCUGGCUAGAGUCCGGAAGAGGAGAGUGGAAUUCCUGGUGUAGCGGUGAAAUGCGCAGAUAUCAGGAAGAACACCAAUGGCGAAGGCAGCUCUCUGGGACGGUACUGACGCUGAGACGCGAAAAGCGUGGGGAGCGAACAGG